rnacentral:rRNA from 1 species
UACGGAGGGAGCUAGCGUUGUUCGGAAUUACUGGGCGUAAAGGGCUCGUAGGCGGCCAACUAAGUCAUACGUGAAAUCCCUCGGCUUAACCGGGGAACUGCGUCUGAUACUGGAUGGCUUGAGUUCGGGAGAGGGAUGCGGAAUUCCAGGUGUAGCGGUGAAAUGCGUAGAUAUCUGGAGGAACACCGGUGGCGAAGGCGGCAUCCUGGACCGAUACUGACGCUGAGGAGCGAAAGCCAGGGGAGCAAACGGG